CCUACGGGAGGCAGCAGUGAGGAAUAUUGGUCAAUGGACGAGAGUCUGAACCAGCCAAGUAGCGUGAAGGAUGACUGCCCUAUGGGUUGUAAACUUCUUUUAUAUGGGAAUAAAAUGUUCCACGUGUGGGCUUUUGUAUGUACCAUAUGAAUAAGGCUCGGCUAAAUCCGGGCCAGCCGCCGGCGUAAUACGGAGGAUCUGAGCGUUAUCCGGAUUUUUUUGGUUUAAAGGGGGCGUAGGUCGAUUGUUAAGGUCGUUGUGAAAGUUUGCGGCCCAACCGUAAAAUUGCAGUUGAAACUGGCAGUCUUGAGUACAGGAGAGGUGGGCGGAAUUCGUGGUGUAGCGGUGAAAUGCUUAGAUAUCACGAAGAACUCCGAUUGCGAAGGCAGUUCACUGGACUGCAACUGACACUGAGGCUCGAAAGUGUGGGUAUCAAACAGGAUUAGAUACCCGUGUAGUC
rnacentral:rRNA from 1 species